rnacentral:lncRNA from 1 species
GGACAAUCUUUAUGAGCUAAUAAUUCUUACAGGUGGUGUUCUGUUUUCAUAGAGGGCAGUGCUCAAGGGCUGCUUCUCUUGUGCAUCUCUGCAGGGAGAAGCUGCUGCUGGGGCAGCUCCUGUUUCUGCUGCAAGGAUGAAACUGAAUACAGGCCUGACAGCAGUAACAGCUGUUAUUGUUGCAGAUCACCAGAGAUUUAAAGAGUUUCUUAUUUCCAAGGAGUACUGCUGCAGUGUGGAGCAAAGCAGCUGAAUAAACUACCAGGUAACCACUCCAGUGAAAAGAUAUUUCCAG